rnacentral:misc_RNA from 1 species
GGGACACCGAUGGCGUGCAGGCUGAGUGGGUGGAGUCAGAGUAAGGUGGAGGAGAAUACGUCCUCUAUUUCCAGCUUGAAGGGGGCGAUGCUCAAGGCUGGGGAUGUUGCGGAGGCGGCGCUCUUUCUUGCAUCUGAUGGGGCGGCGUUUAUCUCCGGGCACAACCUGGUGGUGGACGGAGCGAUGACGGUGGUCACUCCGAAAUUCCCGAACGAGUGAUAGCAUGGAAGAAAAGCAGCAGUAGUUGGAGCUACUACAUUAUGAUGUUUGUUUUGUUUGUCUUUUGAGUUUCUUGUAUGUCUCAUGUGUACUUGUUUUCAUUC